rnacentral:telomerase_RNA from 1 species
CUUGUUUCUGGCUUUCAGCUAACUACAGGAGGUCUCGGAGGGCGUACCGGUUAAACAAAAAAGCCAGAAAUGUCACCCCGUCAAUCUCAGAGCCGUGUCGGGAGACUCUGAGUCUCCUGCCGUGGUCGGCUUG